rnacentral:rRNA from 1 species
AUUGAACGCUGGCGGCAUGCCUAACACAUGCAAGUCGAACGGCAGCAUGACAUAAUUUCGGUUAUGUUGAUGGCGAGUGGCGAACGGGUGAGUAACGCGUAGGAAUAUACCCUGAAGGGUGGGAUAACUUGGGGAAACUCAAGCUAAUACCGCAUAAUCUCUUAGGAGAAAAGCUGGGGACCUUCGGGACUGUCGCUUUAAGAUUAGCCUGCGUCGGAUUAGCUAGUUGGUGGGGUAAGGGCCUACCAAGGCGACGAUCGGUAGCUGGUCUGAGAGGAUGAUCAGCCACACUGGGACUGAGACACGGCCCAGACUCCUACGGGAGGCAGCAGUGGGGAAUAUUGGACAAUGGGGGCAACCCUGAUCCAGCAAUGCCGCGUGUGUGAAGAAGGCCUGAGGGUUGUAAAGCACUUUUGUAGAGGAGGAUGGUAGACUAGGUUAAGAGCUAGGUUUAUUGACGUUACUCUAAGAAUAAGCACCGGCUAACUCCGUGCCAGCAGCCGCGGUAA